UGACAAAUCUCACAACUAUUCCACAUGAAAUCCACACAUCAUCAUGACAUCUUCUUGAUCCCUCUCAAUAAUGUUGAUUUUUCAUAUUUUGCAAGGUUCUAGCUGUUUCUAACUCUAAUUCUAAUCCUUAAUCUAAUCUCAUAGUUAAUGAAGAAGUGAGAGUGUAUUAUAUGUAGUGUAUGUAGUUUUAUUGGGAUGAGGUGCAAAGCCGAGGUUGGAAAAUAGCUCAGUGUAUUGAUGAUGAUUGAACUUUUGCAGUGUUGUAACAGGAGUAACGGAUGUAUCUAUAUUUAGAAGUGGCAAGACAGCAGUAGAAGGGCACAGAAUGUGCUAGAAUCAUGAUGGACAUGGCGCGUGGUGUGGCAACACUAUCUAUAAUGCUCGCUGAUAUCCGCAGAUCUUAGGAGAUCAGUGAUUAGCUUUGAAUAUAAGAGAUUGCUACCUUGUUAAUACUACCGUGCGUACUUCACACUACUCUUAUCACUACCCUUUGUAGCCUACCUCUUACACAAUCCUAAUCGCUCUUAGCCUUAUUUGAGUAGUCCGUUGUUACGCACGCCCUAUAAAUAAGAACUCGCAACAUUACGCUGUAGUUAGACAACCCAAGAUGGUUUCCACAGACUGCAACAGUUGAACGAUCAAAUUCGCAAACGAGAGCAACAACUCGCCAUCUUACACAUGCGCAACAACGCCUUAAUGAGCUGGAGGCGCAGAUCCGUGAAGAUUCUUCUAUUGUAUUCCCGACCUAGCCCAAAAAUGCCGCCGUAGAACCACCACCUGAUCGAACCACAAGUAGCAAGGAUAACGAUGACGAAACACCGCCGAGAUUGGAGAUUAAGGAAUACUACAAAGGGUAGUGAUAAGAGUAGUGUGAAGUACGCACGGUAGUAUUAACAAGGUAGCAAUCUCUUAUAUUCAAAGCUAAUCACCGAUCUCCUAAGAUCUGCGGAUAUCAGCGAGCAUUAUAUAGAUAGUGCUAUGUCCAUCGUGAUUCUAGCGUGUUCUGCGCCCUUCUACUGCUGUCUUGCCACUUCUAAAUAUAGAUACUUCUAUUACUCCUAUUACAAGUGUGAAAAGUGAAUAGCAGAAGAUAGUAGAAAGGGAUAAUAAUAGUAAUGAUAUUAGUAGAUAGUAGCGUAGCUAAUCGCUAAGAGAAGAAAGAGAAGAGAAGAGGAAAGAAAAAUGUGCGAAGGACAUGCGUAUAUAUAUAUAUAUAUAUAUGUAUAUGCAUAGAAAUAGUGAUAGAGCGAGAAAAGGAAAAAAUAAACGG
rnacentral:sRNA from 2 species